rnacentral:misc_RNA from 1 species
CUUCCGUAGGUGAACCUGCGGAGGGAUCAUUMCUCGRGYUUACAACUCCCAAACCCCUGUGAACAUACCACUUGUUGCCUCGGCGGAUCAGCCCGCUCCCGGUAAAACGGGACGGCCCGCCAGAGGACCCCUAAAACUCUGUUUCUAUAUGUAACUUCUGAGUAAAACCAUAAAUAAAUCAAAACUUUCAACAACGGAUCUCUUGGUUCUGGCAUCGAUGAAGAACGCAGCAAAAUGCGAUAAGUAAUGUGAAUUGCAGAAUUCAGUGAAUCAUCGAAUCUUUGAACGCACAUUGCGCCCGCCAGUAUUCUGGCGGGCAUGCCUGUUCGAGCGUCAUUUCAACCCUCAAGCACAGCUUGGUGUUGGGACUCGCGUUAAUUCGCGUUCCUCAAAUUGAUUGGCGGUCACGUCGAGCUUCCAUAGCGUAGUAGUAAAACCCUCGUUACUGGUAAUCGUCGCGGCCACGCCGUUAAACCCCAACUUCUGAAUGUUGACCUCGGAUCAGGUAGGAAURCCSGYUKWACUUAAGCAUAUCAAUAAGCGGAGGAAA